CUACGGGGUGCUGCAGUGAGGAAUAUUGCACAAUGGGGGGAACCCUGAUGCAGCAACGCCGCGUGGAGGAUGACGCAUUUCGGUGUGUAAACUCCUUUUAUAUGUCAAGAAAAUGACGGUAGCAUAUGAAUAAGCACCGGCUAACUCCGUGCCAGCAGCCGCGGUAAUACGGAGGGUGCAAGCGUUACUCGGAAUCACUGGGCGUAAAGGACGCGUAGGCGGGCUUGUAAGUCAGGUGUGAAAUCCUACAGCUUAACUAUAGAACUGCACUUGAAACUACGAGCCUAGAGUAUGGGAGGGGGAGAUGGAAUUAGUGGUGUAGGGGUAAAAUCCGUAGAUAUCACUAGGAAUACCUAAAGCGAAGGCGAUCUCCUGGAACAUAACUGACGCUAAGGCGUGAAAGCGUGGGGAGCAAACAGGAUUAGAUACCCUCGUAGUC
rnacentral:rRNA from 1 species